rnacentral:misc_RNA from 1 species
AAUCAUCAAAAACCCUUUUCUGUUUACUGAAAAGGAUUUUUGGACUUGGAGGUUUAAUGCUUGCCUUUCACUUUUGAAAGUGAGCUCCUCUCAAAUGAAUUAGUGGGGUCCGCUUUGUCGGUCCUUGACGUGAUAAGAUGUUUCUACGUUUUGGAUUUGGCACUGUCCCUUUGGAUUCCUGCUCCUAACUGUCCAACGGACAAACGAUGGUGUUCCGGUCGUCGCCGUCUACAUUGGCGGGGGAGGGCUGGACCCACAAAAGAAAA